rnacentral:rRNA from 1 species
GUAUCUGCCCUUUGGCCUGGAAUAACACGAGGAAACUUGUGCUAAUACCGGAUAAGUCUUUACGGAGAAAGCUUUAUGCACCAUUGGAUGAGCCUGCACUUGAUUAGUUUGUUGGUGGGGUAAUGGCCUACCAAGACUGUGAUCAUUAGCUGAUUUGAGAGGAUGAUCAGCCACAUUGGGACUGAGACACGGCCCAAACUCCUACGGGAGGCAGCAGUGGGGAAUCUUGCACAAUGGAGGAAACUCCGAUGCAGCGAUGCCGCGUGAGUGAAGAAGGCCCUUGGGUUGUAAAGCACUUUCAGUUGUGAGGAAAGAUUGGUAGUUAAUACCUGCCAGUUGUGACGUUAGCAACAGAAGAAGCACCGGCUAACUCCGUGCCAGCAGCCGCGGUAAUACGGAGGGUGCAAGCGUUAAUCGGAAUUACUGGGCGUAAAGCGCACGCAGGCGGUUUGUUAAGCUAGAUGUGAAAGCCCCGGGCUCAACCUGGGAUGGUCAUUUAGAACUGGCAGACUAGAGUCUUGGAGAGGGGAGUGGAAUUCCAGGUGUAGCGGUGAAAUGCGUAGAUAUCUGGAGGAGCAUCAGUGGCGAAGGCGACUCCCUGGCCAAAGACUGACGCUCAUGUGCGAAAGUGUGGGUAGCGAACAGGAUUAGAUACCCUGGUAG